ACAUAGCUCCAGACCUCAGUCUGCUGGCAACCUUUGGUGGGGGAGGACGUGUGCGCCUCCACUACACGCUGCUGCCCGCCACUAGCUUAAAAAGGGAGAAGUUUUGCUAUGGAUUCUCCGUGUUGACGGUCGACACAGAGUGACAAGAAUACGGCAGGCAGAUUGCAGGUGCACAGUGACACUGAGUAGCACCGGUCCUCCGUCGCCACAAACCCCACACACCGAGACUCACCGCGGCCACGGCAGUGCUGGACCCAACAUUACUUGAAAACACCCAGAAAAACAAACACUCCCUCUCUCCUGCCUUCCCUGCGACUCUCCCAAGAUGGCGGAUAUAGACGUGAAUGAUCCCGAGCUGAAAUACCUGGUGGUGUCGCGGGACACGUUCGAGGACCCGGCCAGCCAGGCGGAAUGGACGCAGAAGCGGCUGGUGUGGAUCCCGCACUCCGAACAUGGCUUCGUGGCGGCCGGCAUCAAGGGCGAGGUGGGCGACGAGGUGGAGGUGGAGAUCGCGGACACGGGCAAGCGGGUACGAGUGGCCAAGGACGACAUACAGAAGAUGAACCCGCCCAAAUUCAAUAAGGUUGAGGACAUGGCCGAACUCACCUGUUUGAACGAAGCCUCGGUCCUGUACAACCUGAAGGAGAGAUAUUACUCCGGCCUGAUCUACACGUACUCCGGCCUGUUCUGUGUGGUGGUCAACCCGUACCGCCGGCUGCCCAUCUACACGGAAAAAGUAAUUGAAAUGUACAAAGGAAAGAAGAGACACGAGAUGCCCCCUCACGUCUUCGCCAUUACAGACUGCGCCUACCGGUCCAUGCUUCAAGAUCGCGAGGACCAGAGCAUCCUGUGCACGGGCGAGUCAGGUGCCGGCAAGACUGAAAACACGAAGAAGGUGAUCCAGUACCUCGCCUACGUGGCCGCCUCGAAGUCCAAGGGCGGAGCAUCGGGGGAGGAUCUUCACCUCCAACAACAACAACUAGUACAGCAACAACAACAACAACACAUAGGCAACGUCUUCAAACCUGCUGUUCAACAAGAGUACAAGAGCAUAGCGGGAGAGCUGGAAGCACAGCUGCUGCAGGCCAACCCCAUCCUUGAGGCCUUCGGUAAUGCCAAGACUGUCAAGAAUGACAACUCAUCCAGAUUCGGCAAAUUCAUUAGGAUCAACUUUGACAACUCUGGCUACAUUGCUGGUGCCAACAUUGAAACUUACCUGCUGGAAAAGUCCCGCACCAUACGUCAGACCCAAGAUGAACGCACAUUCCACAUUUUCUACCAGCUGCUGGCUGGAACCACUCAGCAGCAGAAACGAGACUUUAUCCUGGAGGAUCCCAAGCACUACAUCUUCCUGACGCAGGGCAAGAUCGCUGUGGCAGGCUUUGAUGAGGUGGCUGAGUUCCAGGCCACCGUGAAGGCCAUGCAGAUCAUGGGCAUCAACAAUGAGGACAUCCAGUCCAUCUUCAAGACCGUCUCAGCUGUACUGAUGUUUGGCAACAUGCAGUUCAAGCAGGAGCGCAGCAAUGACCAGGCAACACUACCAGACAACACCGUCGCUCAGCAGGUGGCUCACUUGCUGGGACUCAACGUGACCGACAUGGUGAGAGGGUUCCUCAAGCCACGCAUCAAGGUUGGCCGUGAGACUGUCACCAAGGCACAGAACAAGGAGCAGUGUGAGUUUGCUGUGGAGGCCAUUGCCAAGGCUCUGUACGAAAGACUCUUCAAGUGGAUUGUGAUGCGCAUCAACCGCUCGCUGGACCGCACCAAGCGCCAGGGAGCCUCCUUCAUUGGCAUCCUGGAUAUUGCUGGUUUUGAGAUCUUUGCCAUGAACAGCUUUGAGCAACUGUGCAUCAACUAUACCAACGAGAAGCUGCAACAGCUGUUCAACCACACCAUGUUCAUCUUGGAGCAAGAGGAGUACCAGCGUGAAGGCAUUGAGUGGAAGUUCAUUGAUUUUGGCCUUGAUCUGCAGCCAACUAUUGACCUCAUUGAGAAGCCCAUGGGUAUCCUGGCCCUGCUGGAUGAAGAGUGCUUCUUCCCCAAGGCCACAGACAAGAGCUUCAUUGACAAACUCAAUACCUCCCAUUCUGUCCAUCCAAAGUUCUGCAAGUCUGAGUUCAGGGACAAGGCUGACUUCGCCAUUGUGCACUAUGCUGGGAAGGUGGACUACUCAGGCCACCAGUGGCUCAUGAAGAACAUGGACCCUCUCAACGAGAACAUUGUGUCCCUCUUGCAGACCUCUCAAGACCCAUUCAUUGUGCAGAUCUGGAAGGAUGCUGAGAUUGUAGGCAUGGCACAGCAGGCAAUGGGUGACAGCCACUUUGGAGCUCGCACCAGGAAGGGAAUGUUCCGAACUGUGAGUCAGCUGUACAAGGAACAACUCACUAAGCUCAUGAUGACACUCAGAAACACCAACCCCAACUUUGUGCGCUGUAUCAUCCCCAACCAUGAAAAGCGAGCUGGCAAGAUUGAUGCUGGACUGGUCUUGGAUCAACUGAGAUGCAAUGGUGUGCUGGAGGGCAUCAGGAUCUGUCGCCAGGGCUUCCCCAACCGCAUACCCUUCCAAGAGUUCCGUCAGCGUUAUGAAUUACUGACACCCAAUGUCAUCCCCAAGGGCUUCAUGGAUGGCAAGAAGGCUUGUGAGAUGAUGAUCCAGGCACUGGAGCUGGAGCCCAACCUGUACCGUAUUGGACAGUCCAAGAUCUUCCUGCGUGCUGGUGUGCUGGCCUCCUUGGAAGAGGAGCGAGACAUCAAGAUGACAGACCUCAUUGUACAGUUCCAGGCAUAUUGUCGUGGUAUGCUGGCUCGUAAGAACUACCAGAAGAGGAUCCAGCAGCUCAAUGCCAUCAGGAUUAUCCAGCGAAACUGUGCUGCUUACCUGAAGCUCCGCAACUGGCAGUGGUGGCGGCUGUACACCAAAGUGAAGCCUUUGCUGCAGGUGACAAAACAGGAGGAGAAACUGGUGCAGAAGGAAGAGGAACUGAAGGUUAUACAGAAUGUCCUGGAGACACAAAAGAAAACCAAUAAGGACAUGGAAGUCAAAUUCCAGCAGGCAUUGCAGGAAAAAAAUGUUCUUGCUGAACAGCUCCAGGCAGAGACGGAACUGUGUGCAGAAGCAGAGGAGAUGCGGGCACGCCUUCUGGCUCGAAAACAAGAAUUGGAAGAUAUACUGCAUGACAUGGAGACACGUUUAGAGGAAGAGGAAGAACGCACUGGUAAUCUCUCUGCAGAGAAGAAGAAGCUGCAGCUUCAAAUUCAGGAUUUGGAGGAGCAGCUGGAGGAGGAAGAGGCUGCCAGGCAGAAGCUACAGCUGGAGAAGGUACAGUGUGACAGCAAGAUUAAAAAGCUGGAAGAAGAGUAUGCCAUUUUAGAUGAUUCAAACCAGAAACUCUUGAAGGAGAAGAAGUUGAUGGAGGAACGUACCUCAGAUGUGUCUAGCACACUUGCUGAGGAGGAGGAAAAGUCCAAGCAUCUUAUGAAAUUGAAGGCCAAGCAUGAGUCCAUGCUCACUGAUCUUGAGGAUCGCAUCAAGAAGGAGCAGCAGGGUCGCUCAGAGCUGGAGCGUUCCAAGCGCAAAUUGGAAACUGACCUCAAUGAUCUCAAAGAACAGAUCAAUGAGAAGAAGAACCAGAUCCAUGAGGUGCAGAUUCACUUGGCCAAACGGGAGGAAGAGCUGGCCCAGGCCAUGAUGAGAGUGGAUGAGGAGGCUGCUGCCAAGAGCCAGCUCCAAAAGAGUAUGCGUGAGGUGGAGUCACAGCUCAAUGAACUGCAAGAAGACCUUGAAGCUGAACGUAACCAGCGGGCCAAGGCUGAAAAACAAAAGCGAGACCUGAAUGAAGAGCUGGAAGCUCUAAAGAAUGAAUUGCUAGACUCAUUGGACACAACAGCUGCUCAGCAGGAGCUGCGUAGCAAGCGUGAGGAGGAGUUGGCUUCUCUCAAAAAGAGCCUCGAGGACGACCAGGCUUUGCACGAGCAUCAGAUUGCUGAAUUGCGGCAGAAACAUUCCCAUGCUAUUGAGAACCUCAAUGUAGAAAUUGACCAACUCAAGAAGAUGAAGGGUGGCUUGGACAAAGCCAAGAACCAGCUGGAGGCAGAGAAUGCUGACUUGGCCAAUGAAUUGAGAAAUAUUACCAGCAGCAAGCAGGAGAGCGAGAAGAAACGCAAGCAGUGCGAGGCCAUCAUCUCUGACCUGCAGGUUAAGAUUGCCGAGUCAGAACGCAGUCGUACAGACUACCAGGAGCGGCUCACACGGUUAGAACAGGAACUCAAUGCUGCCAACAUUGCCAUGGAAGAGGCUGACUCCAGGGCUGUGUCAGCUAACAGCCAGCUCAAGAAUCUGGAAUCCCACCUGCAAGAAACUCAGGGCCUGUUGGAAGAGGAGACACGCCAGAAGCUGAAUCUGAAUUCCCGUGUACGAGCACUGGAGCAAGAGAAGGAUCACCUGCAAGAAGCCCUUGAGGAAGAGGAAGGAUUCAAGAGGAACUUCGAGAAGCAGGUCGCCACCCUCCAGGUCCAAUUGAGUGAGGCCAAGAAGAAAGCCGAUGAGGAGUCUGGCAAUGCACAGCAGUUGGAGGAAACACGCAAGCGGCAGAUGAAGGAGCUUGAGGAGCUGCGUGCACGUCUGGCUGAGCUGGAGUCUGCCAAUGAGAAAUUAGAAAAGAGCAAGAGGAAGCUUCAGGCAGAGUUGGAGGAUGUCCAGGUGGAUAUUGAUACCAACCGAGCAAAGGUGGUGGAGCUGGAGAAGAAACAGCGCAACUUUGACAAACAGCUCAAUGAAGAGAAGAGCAAUUAUGAGCGUUGCCAGCAGGAGAAGGAGAAUGCUGAGCGAGAGGCCAGGGAAAAAGAAACAAGGAUUCUUUCUCUUAACAGGACACUCGAGGAAUACAUGGAACGCAUUGAUGACUUGGAGACCGGCAAGAAGAGGCUACAGAUUGAGCUGGAUGACCUCGUGUCCACGCGAGGCACAGCAGACAAGAAUGUGCAUGAGCUGGAGAAGGCAAAGAGAGCUCUUGAGUCCCAGCUUACUGAACAGAAGACUCAGAUUGAGGAACUGGAGGAUGAGCUCCAGCUGACAGAGGAUGCCAAACUACGUCUGGAGGUGAACAUGCAGGCCAUGAAGGCUCAGUUUGAGCGCGACCUCAAUGCCAGGGAAGAACAGGGCGAGGAGAAGCGACGUGGCCUGUUGAAGCAGUUGCGUGAGUUGGAAGCUGAAUUAGAGGAGGAGAGGAAACAGCGCACAGCUGCUGUUACUGCUCGUAAGAAGCUGGAGGGUGACCUGAAGGACAUGGAGGGUCAACUUGAGAUGAACAGCAAGAUAAAGGAUGAUGCUGUCAAGCAGCUGAAACGUGCAGGAGCACAGGUGAAGGAGUACCAGCGGGAGGCUGAAGAAAGCCGGCUUGCAAGGGAGGAAACAGCUGCACAGUACAAAGACCUUGAGCGCAAAAUAAAGGUGAUGGAGACUGAACUGCUCCAAUACCAGGAAGAUCUGGCAUCUGCUGAGAGGGCACGCAAGAAUGCUGAAGCAGAAAGAGAUGAACUGCAGGAGGAGUUGUCACAGUACACCUCCAAGGUCACCAUUAGUGCAGAUGAAAAGAAAAGGCUUGAGGCACGCAUCUCUACUCUUGAGGAGGAACUUGAAGAGGAACAGAGCAAUGUAGAGGUUCUUAUGGACAAGAUGCGCAAGAACCAGCUUGCGAUGGAGCAGCUCCAGACUGACUACAACACUGAAAAAUCAUCUGUAGUGAAACUUGAAGGUCAACGAUCCAUGUUGGAGAGACAGAACAAGGAGCUGAAGGCCAAGCUGGCUGAACUGGAAUCAGAGAUCCGGUCCAAGACCAAGUCAACCAUUGCAGCACUUGAGACCAAGGUUUCCAACCUGGAGGAACAGCUGGAGGUUGAAGCACGUGACCGACUUGCCCAGGCCAAGGCCAACCGCAAGCUGGAGAAGAAGCUGAAGGAGUUGGUGAUGCAGGUGGAGGAUGAGCGUCGCCAUGCUGACCAAUACAAGGAACAGCUUGAUAAGUCCAAUGCGCGAGUGAAGCAGCUGAAGCGCACCAUGGAGGAGACCGAGGAUGAGCUGUCCAAGGAAAAGAUGCAGCGACGCAAGAUCCAGCGAGAGGUGGAGGACAUGCUGGAGGCUCAGGAGUCACAGAACAGGGAAAUCUCCUCCCUCAAGACCAAACUGAGCAGUAGCAAAACGUCUAGUCACGUGAUCAGUAGUCGGCGGUCUUACACCAAGACGACAACCAUUUCCCAAGAUGAUGCAGAAGACUAGAGCCCCACUGGCCCAUUGUGGGUACCAAAGAUGUGUGGGUGACUGACUGGUGCCUAUUUGUGGGUUUGGCGUGGUGCAGGACUCAGCUCCCGACUAGACUACAUUCAAGUAAAGCGAGGCUCCAUUGCUGCUGCCAGCGAUGACUCCCAAAAUGCCGACGACUCUCUGGAUGGGGAGGAAGAUGCCACCAAGUGAAUCAAGAAUCUGGUCGGAGCCAAUCCCUUGGGAGUGGCUAAGAGUUCUGGAUCCUCUCAUGUGGGAUGUUCUCGGGUGGAUACAUAAUUAUUUUUCUCAAUAUAAAUGAUUAAUGAUGCUUUUUGAAUUUUUUUUAUUUUGUUUACCACACUGGGUGCAUAACUCAAGAUCAUCAACUACAAGCACUGGCAAGUGAGGACAUGGUUUGAUAACAAGAAGUACCCCUAUACUAGAGUUGGGUUACAUGACUUACCCAUGUACUUGUCCUCAUUCUGGGCGCUGAGAAAUUGGCUGCACAUUUAUAUUAAGAAAACUUCUUGUCUGUCUGUGGAUACAUUGUUGAAUUUGUUGCCAUAACAUAUGUAGAAGUGUGCAUGUGUGUGCGUAUGCGUGUGCAUGUGUGGGUCUGCACCCAAUGAGGAAAAGAAACAAAAUGAGACAUUCCAGAAAAGAGGGAGGGAGGGAGAAAGAAAUUAGACGUAGUCAUGGUGGCAUGCCUGUACUUAAUCCAGAAGGGGAGACAAGAAUGGAACAAUUCUCCAUGAGUCUGAGCACAAAGCUGCCUCCUCACAACUUCUAAGCAUGUAUGUAUUAGUGAGAGAGAAAUAAAGAAAACUUGUAUGUAUGCAUAGUGUACCAGACUGCAUGACUGAGUGAGUGAGUGAGUCAGGGCAGAAACCCCAAGUCAGUGGCAGAUGGUACUGAUGGUUGCCAAGCGACCAGUAGCAUCAGCUCACCGCUGAGGAUCAAGUACACCAGGCUGGUGUGACGGGAGUGGAGGGUGACUGGCUCAAAGUGACGUUUUUACAUUUCCUGAUGCCCAAACCUGAGAUAAUGCAUUGCGAUCUUGCUUCACCCACUGCAGGAGCAGCAUGAAUAGCCAGGCUCUGCUGGGUGCAACACUACCGUCACAGGCCCUCGCAUAAUGUUAGUCAUGCGCCUGUGCAUGGUAUGCCUUUUUUUACUGUCAUAAUGGAAUUUCUUUUGUAAUAUUAUUAAACUAACAAUUGAAUGCUUCCAAUUUGCUACUACAACUGUAUAGAUUUAACUAACAUUGAAUAAAUAACCUAUUGUCAUUAGUUGCCUAUAUUAUUAUUAUUAUUAUUAUUAUUAUUAUUAUUAUUAUUAUUAUUAUUAUUAUUAUUAUUAUUAUUAUUAUUAUUAUUAUGAUGAUGAUGAUGAUGUUACUACUACUUGUAUAGUUGCCAGACAGUUUAGUGAUGAAAAUUUUCUUAUACAUCCUGUACUACUUUCUUACCCAGAAAUUAAUUACAACCAUCCAUAUAGCAAUACAUCAUACAUCCUUUAAUACUUUCUUACCCAGAGAUUAAUUACAACCAUCCAUACAACAACAACUUCUGUUUUAUCUGUCUCUCUCUCUCUUUGAGUUGUUCACCGGUUGUAACGUUAAUGACUUAUUUAUCUUGCAAGUGACCUUAAAUAUUAUACAAUGCUCAUGAUGUAUUACAACUUCAGCCCUCAAUAUAUCAUUCCCGUUUGUCUGUAGAAAAUAUGGCCUUAUAGUUGUAGUCCAAAAGCUGAUUUGAUAUUUAUAUUCCGAAAGUAGAGCGUAGGCAUCCUUAUGAUGAUAGAGCAAUACAUUGUACAGGAUGGUGAUAAGAAAUAAUGAAAAGGACUGAUUUGUGAUUUAAGGUAUAAAAAGCUUCUAUAAGGUGCUUUGUUUUGAUAUUGCUAUAUUGCAUUUGUUAAUUUGAAGUGAUGAUCAGGUAUCAGAUAGUUAGGUAUAGAUAUAGAAUUUUGAUUGAGAAAAGUUUUUCUAUAAAAGAGCAGGGUACAUCAUGCUUACCAGACAGUUUAAGGCCACCUUUUGUUCAAGACUCAUCAGUUAGAAUGCACAAAGUGCAGUCCAUGGCAAGGAUGUAAUAGAAGAAAUAUUUGACAUUUCAAUCAAGAAUGUGACAUAAUACACACACACACACACACACACACACAAACACACAUAGUGGCAGACUUUCUUGAUGCUGCCACAGUAUAACAGUGAUAACCCCCCACAGUGACAAGCCCUCAGUUUACACCAGCAUCUCUUGCUGUUCAUGUGUCUUCACCCCCAAAGAUUACUCAAAAUAAGUGUCCUCAGUGGUGCUGAAGGACACCUAUUAGAUGAGGGACAGGGAAGACAGUGUAGGCCAAAUCAAAAGCCAGUGGUGUGAAUUCAGGACUUGCUGUGUUGGUUAGUUUGGCUCCAGCUCAACAUUAAUGGGUAGGGUGGGAGGGAGGGAGGGAGAGGGUAACCAGGAACCUUCCAAUAGCUGGGAGGGAGACAUCCUGCCACCAGAACAGUCCAAGAGGAAUGACCGUCCAGUUACUCCUUUGCCAUAAUGCAGAGCCAAAAAAAGAGGAGGGGGGAGCACAGUCCUAGGCACCCCUUAGGGAGGAUGGCUUUAGUGGUGGUAUUGAUGUUUUGAAGUUCCUAUGCUGAGGAAAAUGUGCCAAGUGCAUCUUUUACUGUUUUCACAUCAGAGUGAGCCAAGGUAAUGAGCCAAAGACAACUGUCAGUGUUAACUUAGGUAAUGACAUUUUUGCCACUGAUUCUGGUGGGGGGAAAGUGAAGUUUCAUAAAGUCUGCUUAGCUUGCAUUGUAUUUAAAAUAAUUAAAUUUUCAAUAUAUCUUUGCAUACUUUGGAUGCAUUCCAACUGACUGCAAUAAAUGGCCUUAACAA